rnacentral:tRNA from 1 species
GGGCCGGUGGCCGAGCCUGGUCGAUGGCGUCUACUUUGGAGGUAGAUUGCGUAGCGCAGUCGCGAGUUCAAAUCUCGCCCGGCCCACCC